GGUCCCCCUGUCUAAGACCAUUGCCACCCUUAAAAGACACGAAAAGGCCAUCGUUAAUGGAGAUGAAGUAGGAGGUCGUGGAGAGGCAUUCAGAGAGCCAGUUAACAAAGAUGGGAGGGAAGCCUAAAUCUGCUAGAACAUUCCUAAGGAAAGACCAAUUAACCGAGUCGAAGGCUUUGGAGAGAUCGGCUUUGAUGAUACAUCUCGGGGAGGCCUUUUUUUCAUUAUAUUUUUUCAUGAGCUCUUGCAUCAAAAGGAUGUUUUCCAUGAUAGAUCUGCCUUUGAUGAAGGCUGCUUGGCAUGGGUCAAUCAAUCGGUGAAGGGGUUUGGAGAUCCUACUAGCAAGGAUCUUGGAAAUCACUUUAUAAAAAACUGAACAACAAGAGAUGCGGCGAAAAUCUUUGACCGAGGGAGAUGAUUGGGAUUUUGGAAUAAGGGCUAUAACCGUAUGGUCCCAUUGCUUGAGGAGCAAGGAGGACGAGAAGAAUUCCAAGAUGGCUUUGGAGAAAAGUUCCCCGGUAAUAGACCAAGUGUCUUUAAAAAACUUUGAAGUAUAUCCAUCGGGCCCGGGAGACUUAUCAUUGUCAAUGUCGAAGAGAGCUUGCUGAAUUUCGGAGAUUGUAAUUGGGUCCGUGAGUAAUUUACGAUCAGAAUCUGAGAGAAUAGGACCAUUACAAAUGGUAUUUGGAUCGGGAUUAGGAAGGACACAUGGGCUGCCGAGGAGUCUUGUAGUAUUGCACAAAUUCCUCGUGGACUUGAUCUAUUGAAUCCGAGAGGAGGCCAUUUUGCUUAGUGAUGGAAGGAAUGAAGUUUCUCUUGUGAUUCUUCUUGACAAUCGCAUGGAAGAAUUUGGAGCACUUGUCACUUUCUAGAAUGUAUUUGCUUUUAGCUUUUUGUUGAUAAAAAUGCUUUUCAGGCAAGGCAAGGAGAGAAGAUUGCUUUCCCAAUUCGGGGAUUUUUUCAGCCAAAUCUCUAUUACCGAGAGAAGAGUCCAAAAGGGAUUGGGCAUCCUUGAGCUCGGAUUUUGCGCGAUCAGCUCUAGAGGAGAUAUGAGAGAAAUGCUUAAGGUUUAACUCCUUGAGCAUAGGUUUCAAACGAAGAAGUUUGGCCUUAAGCUAAAACUGAUUGGAGCCUUUCGAAGGGAGGCACCACGAAUGAUUAAAAAUUUGAAGGAAAUUUGGGUAUGGGGGCAAAAGACUAAUCGAACCGUCUAGUAGCUGGUUCCCUCCGAAGUUUCCUUCGGGAUAGCUGGAGCCUAUGGGCGAGUUCUAUCGGGUAAAGCCAAUGAUUAGAGGCAUCGGGGGAGCAACGCCCUCGACCAAUUCUCAAACUUUAAAUAGGUAGGCUGGCGCGGCAACUCAGACUUAUACGAACAAGGGGAAUCUGACUGUUUAAUUAAAAAAAAGCAUUACGAUGGUCCUUGCGGAUGCUCACGCAAUGUGAUUUCUGCCGAAAGCUCUGAAUGUCAAAGUGAAGAAAUUUAACCAAGCACGGGUAAACGGCGGGAGUAACUAUGACUCUCUUAAGGUAGCCAAAUGCCUCGUCAUCUAAUUAGUUAUGCGCAUGAAUGGAUUAACAAGAUUUCCCGUGUCCCUGUCUACUAUCCAGCGAAACCACAGCCAAGGCAACGGGCUUGGCAGAAUCAGCGGGGAAAGAAGACCCUGUUGAGCUUGACUCUAGUCCGACUCUGUGAAAUGACUUGAGAGGUGUAGGAUAGGUGGGAGCCAGAAACCGAGAAAGUGAAAUACCACUACUUUUAACGUUUGUUUUACUUAUUUCGUGAAUCAGAAGCGGGGCAACGCCCCUCUUUUUGGACCGAAGGCCCGACUCGGCGGGUUGAUCAGAGCAGAAGACAUAGUCAGGUGGGGAGUUUUGCUGCGGCAACACAUCUGUUAAAAGAUAACGCAGGUGUCCAAAGAUGAGCUCAACGAGAACAAAAAUCUUGUGUGGAACAAUAGGGUAAAAGCUCGUUGGAUUUUGAUUUCCAGUACAAAUAUGAACCAUGAAAGCGUGGCCUAUUGAUCCUUUAGACCUUCAAAAUUUGAAGGUAGAGGUGUCAGAAAAGUUACCACAGGGAUAACUUGCUUGUGGCAGCCAAGCGUUCAUAGCGACGUUGCUUUUUGAUUCUUCGAUGUCGGCUCUUCCGAUCAUUGUGAAGCAGAAAUCACCAAGUGUUGGAUUGUUCACCCACCAAUAGGGAACGUGAGUUGGGUUUAGACCAUCGUGAGACAGGUUAGUUUUACCCUACUGAUGACAGCGUCCCAAUAGUAAUUCAACCUAGUACGAGAAGGAACCAUUGAUUCGCACAAUUGAUCAUCGCACUUGGUUGAAAAGCUAGUGGCUCGUAGCUACCGUGCGCUGGAUUAUGACUGAACGCCUCUAAGUCAGAAUCCAUUCUAGAAGCAAUGCACAAGCCCACCGCUCGAUUGCUGACCAGCAGUAGGGGCCCUCGGCCCCCAAGGGUACGCGUCAUUGACCAAGCCCUCGCAACUGAGCCAUUGCGCGGGCCACCUUGAAGUGUUAUUUCAACCAAGCGGCAGGUAUAACCCUUUGCAGAUGACUUAAAUACACGACGAGGUGUUGUAAGUGGUAGAGUGGCCUUGUUGCCACGAUCUACUAAGAUUCAGCCUCACGUCGCAUCGAUUGUCCCUCCCCUCCCA
rnacentral:rRNA from 1 species